AGUGAACGCUGGCGGUAGGCCUAACACAUGCAAGUCGAACGGCAGCACAGUAAGAGCUUGCUCUUACGGGUGGCGAGUGGCGGACGGGUGAGGAAUACAUCGGAAUCUACUUUUUCGUGGGGGAUAACGUAGGGAAACUUACGCUAAUACCGCAUACGACCUACGGGUGAAAGCAGGGGAUCUUCGGACCUUGCGCGAUUGAAUGAGCCGAUGUCGGAUUAGCUAGUUGGCGGGGUAAAGGCCCACCAAGGCGACGAUCGGUAGCUGGUCUGAGAGGAUGAUCAGCCACACUGGAACGUGGACACGGUCCAGACUCCUACGGUAGGCAGCAGUGGGGAAUAUUGGACAAUGGGCGCAAGCCUGAUCCAGCCAUACCGCGUGGGUGAAGAAGGCCUUCGGGUUGUAAAGCCCUUUUGUUGGUAAAGAAAAGCAGCAGGUUAAUACCCCGCUGUUCUGACGGUACCCAAAGAAUAAGCACCGGCUAACUUCGUG
rnacentral:rRNA from 1 species